rnacentral:lncRNA from 1 species
UCGUCGUUGUUGUUGUUGUUGUUGUUGUUGUUGUUGUUGUUGUCGUUGUCGUCGUCGUCGUCGUUGUUGUUGUUGUUGUUGUCGUUGUCGUCGUUGUCGUCGUCGUCGUACUUUUUAUUUUUGGUGGUGUUGUUGUUGUUGUUGCUUAGGGAGUCUCUGAUCCCCAAAAAGUUCAACCCCUAUGAAUGAGCUUUGAGCCUUCUUUUAUAGGAAAGGGGUCACCAAUAGUGUGCUCACGGGAUGCACAGUGACUAGUGUUCACCACUCUACUUCGUCGGUGGUGUGAGGGGUAGUAAAUGCCUUGUC